GACAGAGGGGGCAAGCGUUGCUCGGAAUCACUGGGCGUAAAGGGCGCGUAGGCGGGAUGGCAAGUCGGUCGUGAAAUCCUUCGGCUCAACCGAAGAACGUCGGCCGAUACUGCCGUUCUUGAGGGAUGCAGAGGAGAUUGGAAUUCCCGGUGUAGCGGUGAAAUGUGUAGAGAUCGGGAGGAACACCGGUGGCGAAGGCGGGUCUCUGGGCAUCUCCUGACGCUGAGGCGCGAAAGCUAGGGGAGCGAACGGG
rnacentral:rRNA from 1 species